AACGAACGCUGGCGGCAGGCUUAACACAUGCAAGUCGAGCGCCCCGCAAGGGGAGCGGCAGACGGGUGAGUAACGCGUGGGAAUGUACCUUUUGGUUCGGAACAACUCCGGGAAACUGGAGCUAAUACCGGAUAAGCCCUAACGGGGAAAGAUUUAUCGCCGAAAGAUCGGCCCGCGUCUGAUUAGCUAGUUGGUGAGGUAACGGCUCACCAAGGCGACGAUCAGUAGCUGGUCUGAGAGGAUGAUCAGCCACACUGGGACUGAGACACGGCCCAGACUCCUACGGGAGGCAGCAGUGGGGAAUAUUGGACAAUGGGCGCAAGCCUGAUCCAGCCAUGCCGCGUGAGUGAUGAAGGCCUUAGGGUUGUAAAGCUCUUUUGUCCGGGAAGAUAAUGACUGUACCGGAAGAAUAAGCCCCGGCUAACUUCGUG
rnacentral:rRNA from 1 species